UACAGAGGGUGCGAGCGUUGUCCGGAAUCACUGGGCGUAAAGGGCGCGUAGGCGGCUUCUCAAGCGUGCGGUGAAAGCUCGGGGCUUAACUCCGAGUCUGCCGUGCGAACUGGGAGGCUUGAGUCUGGUAGAGGUCGAUGGAAUUCCGGGUGUAGCGGUGGAAUGCGUAGAUAUCAGGAGGAACACCGGUGGCGAAGGCGGGUCUCUGGGCCGAUACUGACGCUGAGGAGCGAAAGCGUGGGGAGCAAACAGG
rnacentral:rRNA from 1 species